CGGCCGCCUGCCGCGCUAUGAGGGAGCGUCUCCGGGGCUGGCCGAGGCCGGGGCCGCCUCGCUCUGCUCGCCGAGAAGUGUGAAGAGAGGCGCGGGCGGGAGCCCUGGCUGCGCGCGGCGGCGGCUCCAGGUGAGCGCGGAUCUCAGAGCAGCCGGCCACUGACCCGUCUGGAUCUAGGCAGCAUCCCAAGCGGGGACCGCGGAGCUCUCUCCGAGGGAUCAACAGCCACCAUAGCAGGUAUAUUUUGUAGGAGUAUUUUGAAGAUGGAUAUUUUCAAAUCAUUUUGAAAUAGUCAAACACCAUAUACAUGGGAUGCAUCUUGCUUUUGUCCUGGAGAUCACCUCUGUGGCUUGGAUUUAUCUCAGGACCAUUCGUCUUCAGUCUGCGUGUUAAUUAGAAAUCAAGCAUGAGGAGACUCGUCUACUGCAAGGUGGUUCUGGCCACUUCGCUGAUGUGGGUGCUUGUCGAUGUCUUCUUACUGCUGUACUUCAGCGAGUGUAACAAGUGUGAUGACAAGAUGGAGGCCACCAGAGCCUUAGUUCCAGGUUAAAGGUAUACAUAAUGUUAGACAUAGUAUAAGGUCACUAUUUCUUUAAGAAUUAGUUUCAAGGAAUAGAAAGCAACAAAUUCUAAACAAAUAUGACAAUGCAUGCUAAAUGGUGAUUUAUGAAGGAAGGUAUGAGGUUCAGUGCCUGCAUUUUUUGCAUAUUCUGUUCUGUGACAUCAAGAUCCAAAAUAUAUUUAUUUCUAAAAUAUUCACAAUAAAUCUGACUUCUAAAUUUUAA
rnacentral:lncRNA from 1 species